GAUGAACGCUGGCGGCGUGCCUAAUACAUGCAAGUCGAGCGAACAGACGAGGAGCUUGCUCCUCUGACGUUAGCGGCGGACGGGUGAGUAACACGUGGAUAACCUACCUAUAAGACUGGGAUAACUUCGGGAAACCGGAGCCAAUACUGGAUAAUAUAUUGAACCGCAUGGUUCAAUAGUGAAAGACGGUUUUGCUGUCACUUAUAGAUGGAUCCGCGCCGCAUUAGCUAGUUGGUAAGGUAACGGCUUACCAAGGCAACGAUGCGUAGCCGACCUGAGAGGGUGAUCGGCCACACUGGAACUGAGACACGGUCCAGACUCCUACGGGAGGCAGCAGUAGGGAAUCUUCCGCAAUGGGCGAAAGCCUGACGGAGCAACGCCGCGUGAGUGAUGAAGGUCUUCGGAUCGUAAAACUCUGUUAUUAGGGAAGAACAAAUGUGUAAGUAACUAUGCACGUCUUGACGGUACCUAAUCAGAAAGCCACGGCUAACUACGUG
rnacentral:rRNA from 1 species